GAUGAACGCUGGCGGUAUGCCUAACACAUGCAAGUCGUACGAGAGUUUUUAACUCUAGUGGCGGACGGGUGAGUAAACACGUGAGAAUUUGCCUUUAGGAGGGGGACAACAAUCGGAAACGAAUGCUAAUACCCCAUAUGCUUUCGAGUGAAAUGGAUUUAUCCGCCUAGAGAGAAGCUCGCGGCUGAUUAGCUUGUUGGUAAGGUAAGAGCUUACCAAGGCGACGAUCAGUAUCUGGUUUGAGAGGACGAUCAGACACACUGGAACUGAGACACGGUCCAGACUCCUACGGGAGGCAGCAGUGGGGAAUUUUGGACAAUGGGCGAAAGCCUGAUCCAGCAAUGCCGCGUGCAGGAAGAAAGGCCUUCGGGUUGUAAACUGCUUUUGUACGGAACGAAACGGUCUGCCCUAAUACGGUGGGCUAAUGACGGUACCGUAAGAAUAAGCACCGGCUAACUACGUG
rnacentral:rRNA from 1 species